AGAGGAGAGUGGAACACAGAGUUCUGACUCCCAUCCCUGGGCUUUCCCCACUCCACUUCCCUGUGGGGAAUAUGCAUGCCACGUCUCUCUUCUGACAUUUCCUGGUUAUUUAGACAUUAGCUCCAGCACAGCCUGCACAGGUCUAGUGCCUUGUGGGAGAAAGUCAGUUAAUUAAAGUCCCCUCAUGCCAUUUUUCAUCACUUCUCUAUGAUUUUCAUAAUAAGGUGAAAUCAUCAAAGAGAAGCCAAGAUUGCUCCAUGGAGAGAUGGUGGGGGAGGAGAGAUUCAGCCCUUAAGAGAAAAGCUCAGGAAGUUGGAGAUUUGAGCCAACAAGAGCUGGGCCUGAGAGCAUUGCAAAGCUGCCUCUGGAGAGGGACAAGGAAUAUCUGUGGGGUAUGUGCUCGGGGUGGAGGAUGGGGUAUGUGAUCAGCAGACCAAAAGGAAUUCUCUUCAGUUUCAUUUUCACUCUGUAUGUGGAGUAGAACAGCAUUGUUUAAAAAGAUUGAUAGAUUAAUUAUAAAUAGAUCUAUCUACUUAUCUAAUUACCUACAUACAUAAUAUAAUAAUAAAGAAAACUACAAACUUCCCAGGGAAGAGGGUUGAAAAUUUGUCACAACUGCUUUCUGGCUAUGCCUGAAUAUUUUAGAGAUUUUGGUUUAAACUAAAGGUAACAAAGGUAACAAAAGGUAACAAAAAUGCAUAAGUUUAUGCUAUAAUAUUGGUUUAGUUUUCAUCAACUGAUAUUUGUAUUCUACAUUAUAGAAAAUAGGUUAAAAUAUGAACUUAUGAACACAUGACACCAAAGAAUAUUUCCAGUAUGAACAAGGUAGAGUACCUGCAUCAACCACUUUUAUGUUUAUGACAUCAUUCUAGUUUGAUUAUGGAGGCCAGGUGAAGACAAUUUUUUACAAAAUUUCCUCAAUUUAGAGCUAUUCUUUAUACUGCCAAUUUUGGGGGCAUGCCAGAGGAAAACAUAGCAAGAGAAGGCCCAGUGUUAACCUAGUGUAGAGUAUGCAUUCCAUUCUCUAGUCUACAUCAUCUGUAGGUUAUGUUUUCUGGGACUGUAAUCUGUGUUUAAGUAAAAAUAUAGGAAUUGGAGAUUAGGUCAUUAUCCUCUUUGUUUGCUCACUGUAAACAAACCAUAAAAUAAUUCAAACUACAAUAUCUUUGUCUCUCUGCAGGUUCAUCUGUCUGAGCACAUGAAUCAUGCUCUCACCCUUCACCUUACCUUGCCAGAGCAAUAUGAAUUUAAUGGCGUCCAGAUGUCUUGGACAGAUUUGCCUCCAUCACUGUACCUUACACUAACAGUAAAGAUAAGGCCUUGAUAGUUCUUUUUAUUUCUUAAACUCAAAGUUGAUUAAUCCAUAAGGGCAAAGUGUUUCCAAAACAUAUAUUAAGAAAAUAGAUGGAUGUUACAUUUCAAUCAAAUGGGCAAUCCCAGGAGAAUUUUAGGAAGGUUUUGGAGAUUGGGGAACUGAGAAAAUAAUAUAUAUUUAUCAAUAGAACUUUUGUAGCUUACCUACAAGACAUUUCAAAUAUUUGCCCUCAAAACAAGAAUGAUUGCCUAGCACAUCUUGUUCUGAUUCAUAAAUGUGAGUUUUGGGAGGUGAAGACUCACAUGAGAUAGGACUCUACCUAGGGUUCCCCAGAUGGCAAGGUGCUAUCACCUGCAGUAAAUUCUAAUUCCAUAGCAAUGGUCAUCUCUCCUUAGGGUUUAUCCUCCUGGGGUGCACAAAGGUCUCCUCUGGUCUGCCUGAAGGGCUUCUCUAAAGAGAAGAUGGAGUGGUCCCCAAAGAGUGAGGCCCUGUCAGGGAGAUUCUGCAUCCCAAACAUGACAGAGAUGGUUUACAAGAGUCUCCUGGAAGACAUUUUCUUUGUCUUUCAGGAAGAUUAAGCUUCAUCCUCCCUGUGGCUAAGCAUGAUCUGGUGCCUAAGUGCUGGACAGUGAGAUGUAAACAGAAAUGGUGGUCAGCUUCUGAGCACCUUUCCUGAGGGACAGCCAUCGAUGUCUUUGAGUCCUCUCCUCCUUUGUUUCUUCCCCACUUUAUAGACUAGAAGUUGGACUACACUAGAGAUGGUGGAGACGGACACUCAAGCUGGAUCCUCAAGGACUUUCUGAAACUGCCAUCACAGCUCUGCAUUUGCUAUAAACCUUGAUUUCUUUUAGGUAAGAGAGAAAUAUAUUUUUCAUCUUUGGAAGCAGUUUCUUGAUCCAUGUCAGUAGGUGACCAAGUUCUCCCGGGUAUCCUUCAG
rnacentral:lncRNA from 1 species